GGGCGCGCGGAACGGGGCUGGUUCGGCCCAUUUGGCCGGGCCGGUCCGGUUUUCUCCCUUCUUUCUUCUUUUAGCCUUUUCUUUUUCCCUUUUUCUUAUUUCUUUGAUAUCUUUUGAUUUUGAACUCCAAAUUGGUCCAAAUAAAUUCCAAAAAAAAAUUUAAAAUCAUGUUUUAUCAUGAUACAACUUUUGGGAGUAAUUUCCCCUCAAAAUAAAAUAUAUAAAAAUACAUUUGUCCUAUAAAUGCCUUUAGGGCUAUAUAACUGUUUAAAUAAAAUAGUUUUUCAACUCCAAAUAAUUAUCCAAAAAUUAUGGGAUAGCUUAUUUAUGCAAUAAACCCCUUUUAUAAAUAAAUCCUAUUGGUUUGAAGAUCCCAAGCUCAAAUGGGUGAAAACCCUAGGGUUUAAAUUGAAAUAAAAUCUUUUCAAAGCCUUUUUGAGAUUCAAACUUGAAUUCAAAUAUGCAGUAGUAGCAUCAUGCUUAUGGAUGCAAUGCAUAUGUAAGAAUUUGAAAUUUUUGGGAUGUUACAGACCUAACCCCCUUAAGAUGAAUCUCGUCCUCGAGAUUCGGUGUGAUUAGCAAAGAGGUGUGGGUGGUCUCCUCGAAGAUCAUCUUCGCGCUCCCAAGUGGCUUCCUCUUCAGUGUGAUGGUCCCACUGAACUUUGCAAAACUUGAUUCUGAUCCAAGAUUCUGAUAGGUUUCUCCUCAUAGGUGAGGUCACUUUGC
rnacentral:lncRNA from 1 species